AUGGAGCCGACCUUGAAAUACCACCCUUUAAUGUUUGAUGUUCUAACGUUGACCCGUAAUCCGGGUUGCGGACAGUGUCUGGUGGGUAGUUUGACUGGGGCGGUCUCCUCCUAAAGAGUAACGGAGGAGCACGAAGGUUGGCUAAUCCUGGUCGGACAUCAGGAGGUUAGUGCAAUGGCAUAAGCCAGCUUGACUGCGAGCGUGACGGCGCGAGCAGGUGCGAAAGCAGGUCAUAGUGAUCCGGUGGUUCUGAAUGGAAGGGCCAUCGCUCAACGGAUAAAAGGUACUCCGGGGAUAACAGGCUGAUACCGCCCAAGAGUUCAUAUCGACGGCGGUGUUUGGCACCUCGAUGUCGGCUCAUCACAUCCUGGGGCUGAAGUAGGUCCCAAGGGUAUGGCUGUUCGCCAUUUAAAGUGGUACGCGAGCUGGGUUUAGAACGUCGUGAGACAGUUCGGUCCCUAUCUGCCGUGGGCGCUGGAGAACUGAGGGGGGCUGCUCCUAGUACGAGAGGACCGGAGUGGACGCAUCACUGGUGUUCGGGUUGUCAUGCCAAUGGCACUGCCCGGUAGCUAAAUGCGGAAGAGAUAAGUGCUGAAAGCAUCUAAGCACGAAACUUGCCCCGAGAUGAGUUCUCCCUGACCCUUUAAGGGUCCUGAAGGAACGUUGAAGACGACGACGUUGAUAGGCCGGGUGUGUAAGCGCAGCGAUGCGUUGAGCUAACCGGUACUAAUGAACCGUGAGGCUUAACCUU
rnacentral:rRNA from 1 species